GAGAGCCGAAUGCUCAGGAAUGGGCACGUCCGGUUCGGAGGGCGGCCAGCAGAAACCCACCAGGCGCAAGUCCGGCAGGGCGCUGCUGGCCGACCCUAC
rnacentral:ncRNA from 2 species